UACGCAGGUAUAUAUCUUAUCGGGGCCUAUGGACGGCUCUAAAUUAAAAUAGCCUUCUGGUGAUCGAAUAUAAUAUAAAUUGGAAUGGUAUAUAAACAAGUCAGCGCACCGAGAGUACAGUCACUACAGUCACUAAAGUUAUAUUUGGCCGACAGGUGUCGCCCUGGGGAAGAGCUAGUUUAGGAUUCGAUUUGAUAAUCCACAUUUGCAUUGAAUAAUGGCCUACACUAGGAGAUCAGGGGCCGCUCAGAUGAUUGAUGGGGAUUGGUUUUGAUAUAGAGUAUGAUUGAGCGCCGGAUAGUGUCUUCAGCGAGUGCUGCCUGCAACUUGAUUAAAGCUCCAGUGGAAAUAGAAACAGACGCUCGGCAGUUCUAAUUGCCGUGUCGGGAUUCUGACAAAUGAUGCUGCCUGCCGGGGAAUGUCCUGCCCCAGCCCCACAAUGUUGCACCCAUUUUCACUCUGCAAUUGUUGCCAAAGGCCGUUUACUCGCCGGGCUGGCAGACUGAAAAACUGACGGAGUGACAUACUGGCAGAACGGCAGACUGACUCUGUUGCAAUGACUACGCCAAGGCAGCCUAGUCAAAAAGAAGUGGAUGGGAGUCGGCGUCCCCUGGAAAACCGGAUCCGAACUGAACCGACUGUGUGAAUGGUGUCAUUAAACGAUUUUUCAUUGCAAGCUGCCGCAGGUGAAAUGUGCUCGUGGUGUGUGUGACUUUUUAGCGGUUCACGACCUUUGGCCCUUUAAUCUCUUGAAUCGCAUUUGUGUUGCGGGAGGUGAAACAUUUUCGUGCUUCUCUCCACUUGCCCGGAAAUUGAAAAUCAACUCACCUGUAGCGGAAAUUAUUAUUUUCUUAUUGACGAGUUUUCCUUACCCUCCCAAUUCUGUCAAGUUCUCACCUCCAUUUUGAAUGCGCCAUUGUUCGGCCUUCCAGAGAUUGCAGUUUUUGAAUACCUUUGACAUUCGGGGCACGUAGGUUUAAUCAACUUUAUGCGGGAUAACCCCAGAUUGAAAUUGAAAAUGUAAAAUUUCAUUAAACUAUUGGCGGUCGCUAAUAUGGAGUGGUCAUUCAGGAAAUGUUGGGCAAGAAUACAGAUCUUUCGUAAGCUGUACUUGUAGUUCGGUUUUCCCGUUCUGUAACAUGUGCAAGCACAAUACUCGAGCUAUCAGUGUGCUAUCAGCGGGAAAAUACUUAUAAGGUUGCAAAACUGUGUCGCUCAUGUCAUAAAAUGAAAAAUCACCAAAAACACUGUCGGCAACAAAGUCAAAUAAAAAUGUCUUUCUGGCCAUUAAAAUGCAUUAGAAACCCUCUAAUAUAGCUAAGUGCGAGAGUUUUUGGUUAUAAUAUCUUUCCCGCAAAAAGGAACUACUGCUUGUGGAACUUCUGACCCGGACAGGUUCUAUGUCAAGAAGUUUACUCAUGGCUUAUCGGCGCGGAAAAACUUCGUCGGGGAGCCAAAAGGGUCAGACCGAUGUGGGCUUAUAUUUUUACUUUGAAUCGAGAUAAGAUAUGGCCACAUACUUUUAGUACGCCUGAAAGCUGGGCGCAACCAAAUCGUAAAACAAGAAAUUCGUCGCCUACUGCUUACCUAGAAUUAGUAUUUGAUGGCCAUGUGGCCAAAGUUGGUUUAUAUAACGACAUUCUUAGUUACAUUCUAAGGCGGAAAUAGCGCGGUAACCGAUUGAUAAGACAAGAAAUGUGGGUUAAUAGCUAAACCCUUACGAUCGAUGGUACUCUUACGAUCAACUGCAGGCUUAGCACUUAUCUUACGUUAAAAACUGUCGGUGAUUAGUAUCUUCACUGAUACCAUAUAGCUCCAUAUAGGCAUAUUGGAAAUUUACAAUAUUUGAUUAUCCCAUGAAAUUCAAUUUUCGAUUCCCGAAUGCGAAGACAGCCAUCUCGUUCCCGGCUAGCGCUCAUGCGAUCGGCAUGUAUCGAAGGUGCCCGUCUUUAUCUUAUCUCGAAAAUGUGCCUGGUGCCGCAGUGGAAGCAUGUACAUCGCCGAUCGGCAACACAUCCUCAAAUAUACGGUUUUGGGUUUUCUUAUCGACGACCUUUUUACACAAUUUCUAUUGCCUCCAAGCUGUCACUCUCCGUUUUCUAUAUUUGCUAGCUUCCGACCACUUGGGUCUAUCUAGAUGGACACUGAGCGCGGUUUUCAGCCUCGCCCGAUAUGAUACGAUAUGGUCGUUUAGGGACUCCGUCCCCCAUGGUACUGGCCCUAACCCUUUCCAUUUCUCCACAGAGCGAGACCCAACCUGUUUGCCCUAUCUACCGGGAGUAUUAGACGUGUUUAUCCAGCACCCAUUCGUCAUAAGUUCGUCAUAUCUGCCCUGAAGAGCAGUCGAUGGUUCCCACUGCUCACUCACUCACUCACCAUGAUAUCGAUAAGAGUCCCAAUCCAAAUCCAGUUAUCUGGACGCACUCACACUUUCGCACCUAAAGGUAAAGCAAAUAAAAAUCGCUCGCCAGAUAAGGAGUAUCGUAUAAAUAGCAAUAUCUAUGAAUAUAUGUCAUUAUUUCGUUAUUGAACUCCGGAGUGCGCAGUGCGCAGUGUGCUCGAGUCGUACUUGUGUUGCUCCUGGUGAUUCCAAAUUUUAGUACAUGGUUUAUAUAUUUGGUGAAUUUAAGUGUUCUGAAUUAUCCUUAAGGAUUUUCCACGAUCGGCGUGUCUUUGGCAAGUAGAAUAGCAGGCUUAUCACAUGUUUAACUCAAUCUGCUGUGAGAUUCUUCUAUUCUACUUUCGACAACACCCGUUAACAUCGAACCCCGACUACCAGUGCAGUUUCAAGCCCCAAUCCCUGAUUCUCAAAGCUGACGCCUCGUCUGUGCUCGUUGGACCCCACUCAACCCUGUCCAUUUUCACCCAUCCGAUGCUGUUGCAAUAUUAUGACUCCUGCUGUUUGUUCCGACAGCCGGCUGAGCCGGGAUGGCGGGAAAAGCAGCAAAAGAAAUGUUUAUUGUGAGGUAUUUUCUAUGGCGAUUGCAAUGUCUCUCUGCCCUUUUACCCUGCUAGCGCCAGCCAUUCGCAUUAAAUGAGGAAACCAAUUAUUCGCGCUUAUAAAGAUUUACCGCCAUAGAGCCCCACAUACAGCCCAGCCCAGUUAGACAGUUGGAUAUAUAGAUGCGAGUGCUUCAUCUCCAGUCUCCCACCAGCGGUCUUCGUUUUGUUUUGCUUCUAAUGGGAGCCCUCCGCUUGGCCGCAGGCUCGCUGAUUAAAGGCAGGGAUUGUAUUGCAGGGAGUCCUGGGAAGUGGAAUGCGGUGAUUCUGAGGAGUGGAUGCCGCUCCAAUACAAUCGAACGCAGUAAUUACUUAAAAAUAUACAAAGGGAAAUUACAGGCUUAGUAACGGUUCCAGUUCCAGCUCCUACACAUCGACCAGGCCAUCCAUAUCCACUUAUCCCUAAUGCGGCCACAAUUUCCUCUUGUCCGAAAAACAUUUUCACAAGAAUUUGCUCAUUUCUAAUGGGAAAUCCUUGGCGCGGCCAAUUUGGCUGUGCACAGGCGCCUGGCGAGACAAAGGCCUACUCAAGCCGCCCGUCUGCGCAUCCUUGUUGCGGGUCCUGCCGCUGGCAUAACUUGUCAUUUGUCUUGGACACUCUAGAGCGCAAUCUCGCUGAAAUUACCUUUCAUUUUGUCAUCAAAAACCACUUGAAGGGGGCAUUCACGAAGCGGAAGCAGGCGUCAGAAGUCACUCCCCGGGUGUCCUGUCCCGUUCCGUCGUGUCCUGUCUUUAGGGGAAGUCUGGCCAGCCGCAGCAAUUACAGACGUUAAUGUCCCACGGCCCUGCCCAGCUGUGCUCGACCAUGCCCUUUGUAUCUCCAAUUUUGGCUUAAAGUCUUUUAGAUCCGGCUUCCGGUUCGACUUGGCUUGGCUCCUUUCGGCUUUUGCUUUUAUGCGACCCUUUGUCCGAUGCACUUUCCUAAACCGAAAGCGUAUUGGGUGCCCAGGAUGAAAGAAUCUGAGCUGAAUCAGAAGCGCUUAAUGAAAACGUAAAUACCACUUAGCCGGGCUAAAAAGCAAGUGUCCGCUCUGGCUCCUACUUGUAAUCAGUGGGUAAUUAGGCAGAGGAGCGGAAAGUGAGCAGGACACCUUGGAAUUGCUUAAUUUGUGCAACCUGAUUUAAUGACUGUGCAGACUGACUGUGCUCGCUUCCCUAGCCGAAGAGCUACCGGAAAAGUAUCCACCACCCAACGAAACCCGAGCUGGGAGCUGGGAGACCGAACUUAAUUUCAUGGGACGCUUAUCACGCGCCAAACUAUAAAUAUGCUUCUAAACGUUUGUUUUGACAGCUUCAUCUGCUUCAUCUGCAAUGUGCAGCCACCCUACCUCACCGUGAAAGUACAGUCCCGCCUCGAGGUCGACGUCGCACUGGAGUCAACGUUUUUUGCACUUCUUGUGCCCGAUUUUGGACGAUGGGGUGGGUGGAGGACGAUAUUGCAACGGCUGCAGAGUGUGCAAAAAUUCUAAACUGCAAUAAAUUCAUCAAAUGUGCAAUGAAACAUGCUGUAAUGUCACGCCCACGGCCCCAUUCAUCCGUGCCACCCGCUCCAAAUCCGAGGGGACUCUCCUCGCCGCCAGCUCCACCAAACGCGCUCCCUUUUGGCCCGGAAUUGGGUGAUAUUUUGUAGGCAAAUGUGCAAUAAAUUGUAAAUGUUUGCUGUCCGUGUGGGAGAGCAA